rnacentral:rRNA from 1 species
UACGGAGGGUCCAAGCGUUAUCCGGAAUCAUUGGGUUUAAAGGGUCCGUAGGCGGUUUAAUAAGUCAGUGGUGAAAGCCCAUCGCUCAACGAUGGAACGGCCAUUGAUACUGUUAAACUUGAAUUAUUAGGAAGUAACUAGAAUAUGUAGUGUAGCGGUGAAAUGCUUAGAGAUUACAUGGAAUACCAAUUGCGAAGGCAGGUUACUACUAAUAUAUUGACGCUGAUGGACGAAAGCGCGGGGAGCGAACAGG